rnacentral:lncRNA from 1 species
CACAAAAGGUAUGUUCUGUUCGUUGAAUGACUUCUGGUGAAGAGCCGUACUAGAAUGUUUGGAGACAUCAUUAAGGCCACCGUUGUCAACUUUAAAGUCUCUGUUGCAAAUUUACAAAAGGCAUGUGACAAUCGUAAAGUUGAUUUAGACAACCGGCCCCUGUACUUGACAUCAUUCUCCCACUUCUCUAAGUAUUUGCACGAAGCAACACGCUUUUUCUUCUUAGGCGGUGACAGAACCAUU